rnacentral:miRNA from 1 species
CUGUUGAUUCUCUUUUCUUGAUU